rnacentral:lncRNA from 1 species
UUGAGCUGCGAGCUGAGGAGGCCCGUUGGCUGUUCCCGCAAAGAGUGGGGGGCGCAUUUUCUCUCCUGCCAGCCCGCUCCAUCCUGGUCGUUUAUUCCCGGCCUUCCCUCACCCCCCACCCCCACAGCCUGCUGGGAAACCAGACGACCCAGCGGCCACGGGACGAGUCACCCCAACUCAACCCCAGCAGGACGCUGGAGGGGCCUCCCUUGCCCACCUCUCUUCGCUAGCACUGGCCUCCCGCACCUGGGUCUGCAGUCCCUCCGCCAUCUCACAAGUGUGCAGCCGCUAGGCCUGGGGGAUCCGAAUGACUGGGGCUGGAUAGGAAUGCCUUCGUGUUUCCCAAGACCCCCGGGCCUGCUCCACAAAGUUUGAAGGGCUUCUGCUUUGUGUGAUCAGGGAAGGGAUCCCACAUAUGGGAAUGGUUAAUGGAUUUUGGGACUCUCUAGGAGCCCCUGUUUUAAGAAGGAGGCCAAAUGUGCAGGCUCAGGCCAAGCAGCAGAGAUGAAUGAGGUGAUGACCACAGCCUUGAUCCGGCAGGAGCUCAGAGAUGCCCGGGAAGACGGGGGGCCCGAAUGGAAGCAGAAAAACACUUAUGGCCGCUGGGAAGUUGGGAGAGCCAGGCUGGGGCUCCGGCAGGCCCAGGGAAAGUUCCCUUUCUAGGCUCUUUAUUAAAAAAUUUAAAAGGAGGAGUUGAGGCGCCUUGAAUUUUCCUUCGCGAGUUUGGAGACCAGCCGAUUUUUCAUGAAGCAAGCAAGGGCCGCGGUCCCGGAUCCUGCAACAUAUACCUCAUUUUCUCCAGGCCUCUCCACUUGCCCGAGCUCUCAGCCACCAGGAGACAGACGGAAGGGGCUUCUGGGCUGUGUUGGGAGCGGGCAUUGUCCCCUACCCACUCCUGCACAGUUUCCCAAAGUCCAGCGACCUCCGACCCUCCUUGGGGAAAAAAAUACCAGUACCCAGACACCUCUGCACCCUGUUAUAUGACUGGGCUUGCUUCAGGAAUAUCUUACAAAGAAGAAGAAGGAGGAGGAACGGCUUGGAGUCAUGUUUACAUCUAGUUCUACUGAUCCGUUCACAUCUGGAGAGUUUAUUUAUAACUCCCUCUAUAACUCUCUGUUUGGAGGCACUGGUGGCUCUACUGACAGACUGAUGUCUAGGAAAUAUUGCUCUAUGUCUAAUGGUACCUAAAUGUGCUGUGGUUGUAUUUACAGAUUUACGUUUGAGGGAAAUAUAAUUAUUUCCAUUGUA